GACGAACGCUGGCGGCGUGCUUAACACAUGCAAGUCGAACGGAAAGGCCCUGCUUGCAGGGUGCUCGAGUGGCGAACGGGUGAGUAACACGUGGGUGAUCUGCCCUGCACUUCGGGAUAAGCCUUGGAAACUGGGUCUAAUACCGGAUAGGAGCCAUUUUGAGUGUGAUGGUUGGAAAGUUUUUUCGGUGUAGGAUGAGCUCGCGGGCUGUCAGCUUGUUGGUGGGUUAAUGGCCUACCAAGGCGGCGACGGGUAGCCGGCCUGAGAGGGUGGACGGCCACAUUGGGACUGAGAUACGGCCCAGACUCCUACGGGAGGCAGCAGGGGGGAAUAUUGCACAAUGGGCGCGAGCCUGAUGCAGCGACGCCGGGUGGGGGAUGACGGGCUUCGGGUUGUAAACUCGUUUCGCUAGGGACGAAGCUUUUUGUGACGGUACCUAGAUAAGAAGCACCGGCUAACUACGUG
rnacentral:rRNA from 1 species